CGUUAGAUCAAGGGAUCUAAUCUAAACCGUUGAUAAGCCCAAACCCUAACAAACCCUAAACUUCGAUUCCAUUAAAAACAAACCCAAAAACAAAACCCAAAAACAAAGAAAGCAAGCAGCCAAGCCUCACGCGAAAUAGCGAACUCGCGAACUGCUCCUCGCCUCCUCCCAGCUUGCCUCGCCGGCUCGCCGCCCUGCUUUCAACCCACGUCGACGUCGUACCCCCAGUUCUAGAUUUGUUGUUUGUUCUUGUUCUUCAUUCUUCAUUUGAUUUUAUUUGCGUUCUUGUGAAUUUUUUUGACUUUCAUUUAGUUCUUCGUUCUUCAUUCUUGUCUUGUUUUUGUGCUUUCUUUCUGGCUUUCAUUCUUCGUUUUUGUUUUAAUUUAGUUCUUCAUUCUUCAUUCUUGUUCUUGUUACUUUUUAUUAGCGUUUUUGUGCUUUUUUUUUUUAGUAUCAUUCGGUUUUAUUUUGGUUACUUUUUAUUUUGAUUUUUGAUUUCUUAUUCUUGUUUUCAUACUUGGUUUCAUGUUCUUGUUUUUGUUAUUGAUUUCAGUUUUUGAUUUUGAUGGAGAUUUCAUUUUAUUCAGAUUUUGUUGUUAGGGUUUUGUUUCUUCGGACGGAGCUGCAGUUUUCCACUCAUUUCACUGUAAGAUUCAAAUUUUAUAAUUGUUUUCAUUCAAGUAUUGAUUUUCUAUCCUGUUUUUUUUUUUCCUACAAUUUUUUGUCAUUUUCGGAUAAUUUCAUUGUUAAAUGCUGCAUUUUCGGAUAAUUUUCUAUCCUGAGUUGAUUGAUUUUGUGUUGAUUAUAUGGUUAUAAUUGGAAUUGAAAUUUUAUUUUUUUAAUUAAUUGUUUGCAAGUUUUGAUUUUGAUUGAGUUUUAUUAUUAUUUUUGUUGUUUUGAAUUUCAUUCAUUAAGCUGUUGGACAUGUCAUAGGUGGUUAUAGCGUGCUUUACGUGGAAAUUGUGAUUGGGUUUAUCAUCAUUUUGGGAUUUAAGUGUGUCAUCUGUAUAAUUGUUGUAAUUAGUUUGUUUGCUUUGGAGAUAUCUGUAUAAUUGUAUAAUUGUUGGGAUUUAAGCGUGCUUUGCUUUGGAGACAUGUCAUAGGUGGGUUGUUUUCUAUUUUUUUGUUCGUAUGAUGAAUGUUUGGGUUAAUUUGCUAAAUCAGUUGCUAGAUUCAUGUUCAUGUUGGCAAAUAAAAUCAGGUAUUUUGUAUGAUGAAUGUUCAUGUUCAAAUGUACUGUUUAUCUUCUUGAUGUUUUUAAAGUCGUUUUUAAGGAGAUAUUAAGUGUUAUUGAGGAAAAUAACACUGAUCAUGAUGAUAAUGCUUCAGGUACACUAAGUUUGGUGGAGCAGUUCCUUACAGAUUAUUGAAAGGCGGUGUCGCAUUGAGGACUAGGAGCAGGAGAUCUAAGGUGGUGAUGGAAGAGGAGGAAGAAGAUGAAAGUGAUGAAAUGAGUUAUACUUCUGAGAAAAUUAAAGAAAAGUGAUGAAAUGAGUUAUACUUUUGCAAUUUCUUAUGCAUAACUAAAAUUUGGAAAAGACUUUUUGUGUAGUUAGGAUUAUUGAUGUUUAUAUUAUUGGUAGGGAAAAAAUGUAAUGGAUCUAUUUUAAAUUUCGUCUAAACUAUUAAAUGAAAUGAAAGUGGUUUAUCAAUUUCAUAGGUUAA